AACACAUUUACUUUCACUAUUCUUGAUGUUCUUGAAGGUUUUGAAAAUAAAACAUGAAAAUUGUCACUACGGAUUCGUUAUAACACCGAAUCCGUUUAUUUAAACUUUGGUCUCUUCGUAUCAACAUGCAUAACAUCAUACGAGUGUAAAUUUUACGAAAACAUUUAUGUUUGACAUACUAAAAUCACGUAUAAGGCCUUAAGGCCAAAACCCAAACUCUGUAAUUUUGUAAAAAUCAUAUACGAUGUAAUACUAUGAAACUGAUGAUAUGGAAUCAUGCAAUAUAUAUAUAAAACAUGUUAUGCUAUUCUUAUUAUUACAUAUACCAUAUAAUAG
rnacentral:lncRNA from 1 species